GCCAAGACCAUAAAUUACUACCUAAAAAGAAAGAAAGGGGGGAUAGAAAAGUGGGGAAAUUUCCCAACUUGCAUCGAAACCUCUUUCGUGGAAUCAUCUCGAUUGAUCUUUGAUCUCAUGAAAAUCAGCUAUAGUGACACCGCAAAGCCACACAGUACCCGGAUCACCAAUCUUGUGUGCUGGAAUGAUUUCCCCAACGGCUGUUAAUUACUUCCUGCACCUCCAAGUUGCUUCUUGCACCCUUUCUAGAAUGUUUUCUUUUUUACAUUCCAGAACCUAAAAAAGAGAUGCAUUUUGUAUUGUAAUUUUACAUUCUGAAUUGACCAUUCCAAAGCCAUAAAAGAGGUGUUGGAAGCAACUUGGGAGAUGCAGGAA
rnacentral:lncRNA from 1 species